rnacentral:rRNA from 1 species
AUGGUCUCGGAACAGCUUCGUGAAUAUGAGUUGAAGCAAAGCAAGAAGAAGUUGAGGUUUGAAAGUGACUCAAAAGAGUUUGCGGAGAAGGAGAAGCAGAGGAGAGCUGCAGAUGGUGCCAAGGGUGCCAAAUUUGCCAAGGUGAAGAAGCCUUCUUUGCAGAAGAAGAAGCUGAGUACUGUUGCUGAGGAAGGUGGUACACCUCGGCGGAGUCCACGUGUUGCUGGCAUGAACAAGAAUCUUGGCAAGAGAACUGCUGAAGCUGGUGGAAAGGAUGAUCCUCAGUGCAAGCGACUACAUGUCACUGAAGGUCCCAACUGUGAUGAUGACGACUUUGUGCUUGCUGAUUUUGUGAGGGAUGUUCAUAGUGGUAGACGCAAAGACUGUGGUUCAUCUAAGAGUCUA